GCCGGGCAUGGUGGCGCGUGCCUGUAGUCCCAGCUACUCGGGAGGCUGAGGCAGAAGAAUCGCUUGAACCCAGGAGGCAGAGGUUGCAGUGAGCUGAGAUUAUGCCACUGCACUCCAACCUGGGCAACAGAGUGAGACUCUGUCUCAA
rnacentral:SRP_RNA from 1 species